GCUGGAGUGGCGAAAUUGGCAGACGCACAGGACUUAAAAUCCUGCGGUAGAUGAUACCGUACCGGUUCGAUUCCGGUCUUCAGCACCA
rnacentral:tRNA from 1 species